CACUUUUCAAGUUGCAAAGCUGUCUAACAUAGCACUGCUGUUGUUUACAUGCUCCUCCUUGGUCACUUGCAAUUGAAGAUGACAUCAAUCAGGCUUUGUGUAUGUGAAGGUGACUGAGGAGCAUUAAACAUUACACAGUCCCUGCAACUGUUAAACCUUUCUUCCAGAUUCUAACAUCAACCGGUGACAAAUUUGAUUCAGGUGAAUAAAACGUUUGUUUAUCUAGGCCCACUAUUACAAUGCAGAAAACUUGGCAUGGAGACUGAAGCACCUGCAAAAGGAGGCUGCAGGGGAAUAAAGUUCCCUUGUAGAUCAUGAACAGGUGGGUCAGCUGGUUGGCAUACAUAACUGUCUUUUAUUUGAGUGUUUAUGGUUUGUGGUUGCUCGGGUGCAGGCAUUUGAGGGUGUAGGCAUGUGAGGGUUUGUUCACAAGGGAGUCAGACUUGUUUUUUAUGGAUUUUUCUCACGAUUCAGUGUAAUUGGGUUUGGUUGGACUGUUAGACCAGUGUUGUGUGUUCAGGUCCUUUUUAAUCUUUGGUUGAAGGUGGACCAGCUGCUGACAGAGACCCCAUAAUGAACGAAAAGUGAAGAAGGGCAGUGUUGAGAGGCCAUCGCGCUGAUGAAACACACGUCUGAUGAAGCAACCUUAAAAGUAAAGAUGAAACUGACCCACAGAACUCCUCUGACAUAGUCAGUGUUUCUGCUGUUUCUGAAUAUACCAGGCAUGAUUGAGCAAGAUUUUUAGGUGACGCAACUUCCGCAAAAUUCCGGGAGAAAUGGCCUACUGUUUUCAAACAGAAGGUCAUCCUGCAGAGCCAGGGAUUCACACCAACAACCAAGCUUCAUGACCUGAUACACAACACUGAGUCUACAGCUGAGGUGGGAAAUGGUACAGACAUACCACUUUACGCUGUAAUAUGAAGUUCUAUUAUGUGCAUGUGGGCUGGAGAAGAAUCUUUGGAUUGUUGUUGAAGGGGUUACAUUUCACACACCAGCCCUGGCAUACAUGUUCUGAAAGUGUUCUAAUGUCAGAAUUCAAAUUUGUGUUUCGAGGCUGGGACAGUGACAUGUCGUCCAUUCUUCUCCUCAUCCAUCUUCUGCCUCCCUCCGCUCAAGUCCGCAACAAGCCAGGAAAGAUGUCAGCAAGACACGCAGCGGAACAUCUUGUGAGGUUCAUAAAGGUCAGGCUACAAUUCAACAAAAAUGUGUUAUAUACAAAUUGUGUCACUGUAUCCUGAUCCCCC
rnacentral:lncRNA from 1 species